rnacentral:rRNA from 1 species
GAUGAACGCUGGCGGCGUGCUUAACACAUGCAAGUCGAGCGAAGCACUUAUGAAAGAUUCUUCGGAUGAAUUCAUUUGUGACUGAGCGGCGGACGGGUGAGUAACGCGUGGGUAACCUGCCUCAUACGGGGGGAUAACAGUUGGAAACGACUGCUAAUACCGCAUAAGCGCACAGUACCGCAUGGUACAGUGUGAAAAACUCCGGUGGUAUGAGAUGGACCCGCGUCUGAUUAGCUAGUUGGUGGGGUAACGGCCUACCAAGGCGACGAUCAGUAGCCGACCUGAGAGGGUGACCGGCCACAUUGGGACUGAGACACGGCCCAAACUCCUACGGGAGGCAGCAGUGGGGAAUAUUGCACAAUGGGGGAAACCCUGAUGCAGCAACGCCGCGUGAGUGAAGAAGUAUUUCGGUAUGUAAAGCUCUAUCAGCAGGGAAGAAAAUGACGGUACCUGACUAAGAAGCCCCGGCUAACUACGUGCCAGCAGCCGCGGUAAUACGUAGGGGGCAAGCGUUAUCCGGAUUUACUGGGUGUAAAGGGAGCGUAGACGGCGAGACAAGUCUGAAGUGAAAGCCCGGGGCUCAACCCCGGGACUGCUUUGGAAACUGCCUUGCUAGAGUGCUGGAGAGGUAAGUGGAAUUCCUAGUGUAGCGGUGAAAUGCGUAGAUAUUAGGAGGAACACCAGUGGCGAAGGCGGCUUACUGGACAGUAACUGACGUUGAGGCUCGAAAGCGUGGGGAGCAAACAGGAUUCGAUACCCUGGUAGUCCACGCCGUAA